CAAGUCGAACGCGAAAGCCUCCUUCGGGGGGCAAGUAGAGUGGCGCACGGGUGAGUAACACGUAGGUAAUCUACCUUUGGAUUGGGAAUAACCACCGGAAACGGUGGCUAAUACCGAAUAAUGCAGCGGCACCUAAUGGUGACAGUUGUUAAAGCGGGGGAUCGCAAGACCUCGCGUCUGAAGAGGAGCCUGCGGCAGAUUAGCUAGUUGGUAAGGUAACGGCUUACCAAGGCGAUGAUCUGUAGCCGGCCUGAGAGGGCGGUCGGCCACACUGACACUGACAUACGGGUCAGACUCCUACGGGAGGCAGCAGUCGGGAAUUUUGGGCAAUGGGCGAAAGCCUGACCCAGCAACGCCGCGUGAAGGAUGAAAUCCCUCGGGAUGUAAACUUCGCAAGAACGGGAAGAAUAAGUAAGAGUUAAUAUCUCUUACGAUGACGGUACUGUUUGUAAGCUCCGGCUAACUCCGUGCCAGCAGCCGCGGUAAUACGGGGGGAGCAAGCGUUGUUCGGAUUUACUGGGCGUAAAGGGCGCGUAGGCGGCCACCGCAAGUCGACUGUGAAAUCUCCGGGCUUAACCCGGAAAGGUCAGCCGAUACUGCGGGGCUAGAGUGCAGAAGGGGCAACUGGAAUUCUCGGUGUAGCGGUGAAAUGCGUAGAUAUCGAGAGGAACACCUGCGGCGAAGGCGGGUUGCUGGGCUGACACUGACGCUGAGGCGCGAAAGCUAGGGGAGCGAACGGGAUUAGAUACCCCGGUAGUCCUAGCCUUAAACGAUGAAUGCUUGGUGUCUGGGGUUUUAUAGUCCCCGGGGUGCCGUCGCUAACGCUUUAAGCAUUCCGCCUGGGGAGUACGGUCGCAAGACUGAAACUCAAAGGAAUUGACGGGGACCCGCACAAGCGGUGGAGCAUGUGGUUUAAU
rnacentral:rRNA from 1 species